rnacentral:rRNA from 1 species
UACGGAGGGGGCAAGCGUUGUUCGGAAUUACUGGGCGUAAAGGGCUCGUAGGCGGCCAAUUAAGUCAGACGUGAAAUCCCUCGGCUUAACCGGGGAACUGCGUCUGAUACUGGAUGGCUUGAGUUUGGGAGAGGGAAGCGGAAUUCCAGGUGUAGCGGUGAAAUGCGUAGAUAUCUGGAGGAAUACCGGUGGCGAAGGCGGCAUCCUGGACCGACAUUGACGCUGAUGAGCGAAAGCUAGGGGAGCAAACAGG